rnacentral:rRNA from 1 species
AUUGAACGCUGGCGGCAGGCCUAACACAUGCAAGUCGAACGGUAACAGGAAACAGCUUGCUGUUUCGCUGACGAGUGGCGGACGGGUGAGUAAUGUCUGGGAAACUGCCUGAUGGAGGGGGAUAACUACUGGAAACGGUAGCUAAUACCGCAUAACGUCGCAAGACCAAAGAGGGGGACCUUCGGGCCUCUUGCCAUCGGAUGUGCCCAGAUGGGAUUAGCUAGUAGGUGGGGUAAUGGCUCACCUAGGCGACGAUCCCUAGCUGGUCUGAGAGGAUGACCAGCCACACUGGAACUGAGACACGGUCCAGACUCCUACGGGAGGCAGCAGUGGGGAAUAUUGCACAAUGGGCGCAAGCCUGAUGCAGCCAUGCCGCGUGUAUGAAGAAGGCCUUCGGGUUGUAAAGUACUUUCAGCGAGGAGGAAGGCGUUAAGGUUAAUAACCUUAGCGAUUGACGUUACUCGCAGAAGAAGCACCGGCUAACUCCGUG